AUUGAACGCUAGCGGGAUGCCUUACACAUGCAAGUCGAAAGGAGUGGCGAACGGGUGAGUAAUGUAUCGGAACGUGCCCAGGAGAGGGGGAUAACUACGCGAAAGCGUAGCUCAUACCGCAUACCAGUGGAGCGGCCGAUAUCGGAUUCGCUAGUUGGUGGGUUAACGGCUCACCAAGGCGACGAUCCGGAGCGGGGUUGAGAGGACGACCAGCCACACUGUGACUGAGACACGGCCCAGACUCCUACGGGAGGCAGCAGUGGGGAAUUUUGGACAAUGGGGGAAACCCUGAUCCACCCAUCCCGCGUGUGCGAUGAGGGCCUUCGGGUUGUAAAGCACUUUUGGCAGGAAAGCGGUACCUGCAGAAUAAGCACCGGCUAACUACGUGCCAGCCGCCGCGGUAAUAC
rnacentral:rRNA from 1 species